rnacentral:rRNA from 1 species
GACGAACGCUGGCGGCGUGCUUAACACAUGCAAGUCGAACGGUGAAGCGCCUUCCUUUUUGGUGGGUGUGGAUGAGUGGCGAACGGGUGAGUAACACGUGAGUAACCUGCCCCCUUCUUCUGGAUAACCGCAUGAAAGUGUGGCUAAUACGGGAUACUAUGGGUCUGUCGCAUGAUGGGUCUGGGAAAGAUAUUGUUUCGGUGGGGGAUGGGCUCGCGGCCUAUCAGCUUGUUGGUGGGGUGAUGGCCUACCAAGGCGGUGACGGGUAGCCGGGCUGAGAGGGUGGACGGUCACACUGGGACUGAGACACGGCCCAGACUCCUACGGGAGGCAGCAGUGGGGAAUAGUGCACAAUGGGCGCAAGCCUGAUGCAGCGACGCCGCGUGAGGGAUGGAGGCCUUCGGGUUGUGAACCUCUUUCGCCAGUGAAGCAGGCCUGCCUCGUUUGUGGGUGGGUUGACGGUAGCUGGAUAAGAAGCGCCGGCUAACUACGUG